CUCAAGUAUUUGAAUGCUUGGUCCCCAUCGAUGGCAUUGUUUGUGGAAAUGGUACAGCCUUGUUGGAUGAAGUAUACUUAGGGGGACUUGAGUCACCUUUGGUUAUAGUGUCUUAACAAAGCAACAGAGAAGUAACUACUCCAAGAUUCUUUAAUGUCAAAUGUAAUUUUAAUAAGAUACAACCAACAUUUCUGAAUAAGAAGACAUGCGAGCGACAGUGAGAUGACUCAGUGAGUAAAGGCACCUAUCACUAAGUCUCAGAACCUGAGUUUGACCCCAAGGACCUUCAUGGGAGAAGGAGAAAACUGGCUCCCACAAGUUGUCCUCUGAAAUAUGUCUUCAUUUUCCACUAUGCUCAUUUUCUCAUUUGUCAAGUUGCUGUGUGUAAGACAUAACACAUUAUUAUUCAAAUGGAAACAUAUUAGAAUGGGAUCCCAUUACACACAGGACUUUGUCUUCUGCUCUCCCUCCACUUGGCAAUGUAUGCUGGGCAUCUCCCAUGCCCUUCAGAGCUGUUAUACAAGGCAAUGGGUAAUGGUUGCACAUUCUCUUCCUGUUGUCAGGUGCCCUUUGACUGAGCCCUCCCCCGGUUCUUACUCUACAUCAUUGUCAUGCUGCUCCUUGGGAAGGGGAGGAACUAAGAGAAAAGGUACUUGGUUGAAUGUGGAAAAUGGAAAGAAACUAAAUCAUCCCGUGAAGCGGUCAUAUGUUGUAUAA
rnacentral:lncRNA from 1 species